AUUGAACGCUGGCGGCAGGCUUAACACAUGCAAGUCGAACGAGUGGCGGACGGGUGAGUAAUGUUUGGGAAUCUAGCUUAUGGAGGGGGAUAACUACGGGAAACUGUAGCUAAUACCGCGUACCAUAGGAUGAGCCCAAGUGGGAUUAGGUAGUGGGUGAGGUAAAGGCUCACCAAGCCGACGUUCUCUAGCUGGUCUGAGAGGAUGACCAGCCAAACUGGGACGGAGACACGGCCCAGACUCCUACGGGAGGCAGCAGUGGGGAAGAGUGCGCAAUGGGGGCAACCUGACGCAGCCAGGCCGCGGGAAUGAAGAGGGCCUUCGGGUUGUAAAGUUUUUUCGGUAGCGAGGCGGUAACUACAGAAGAAGCACCGGCUAACUCCGUGCCAGCAGCCGCGGUAAUAC
rnacentral:rRNA from 1 species